CUCAGUCAUCUCCAUUGCAGGGCCAGCCACAGCUCUUACAGGACAGCUGUAAGAACAAGAGUUCUGGGAGGCUUUCAAUUACACCCAUCUCCAAGUGGAACUCUCCAGGCUAAGAGGAUGAUGACCACCAGCAGGGGAGGCCACUGGGACACAGAGGGUUGGAAUAUCUUACCCAAGAUCUGACAGCUAGGAAGUGCAGGAGCCUCCUCUCGGGUCCUACAUUCCAUCUGAGGACUGGAUCCUGCUGGAAGAAGGAAGGAGGUUUAUCCAGGGAGGGUGUGCAGCCAUGUGAAGACUAUGCCUGCUUCUACUUCAUUUUCCGCCGUGAUUAUGUUUCCUGAGGCCUCCACAGCCAUGUGGAACUAGUCAAGACCCCAAAGAGCAAGCCUGCCUGAAGUGAAGCAAGAUGGUGAUUCUUGAGUCACCUGCACAGCAAAUCAUCAAUCACGUUAUUCUCUGGAUCCAAUCAUGACAGAUUGGCAAGGAUAUUCUGUGUCUGCCUGUUCAUGAAACUGGUGAUGUCUUAUGUUUGGCGGGAGCAUGGGACUUUUGCCCCACAAACAUCUGGAUUCACAUGAAAUGAACUCAAACAUUUUUAUUUCUGGAGUCUGAUUCAGAAAAGCCAAUUGGGGCUUGAGGAGACAUUUAAGAGGCUGCUGAGAAAUGAAGGAACUGAACACUGAACAGUAAAGGACAAGAAUCUUGAGAAGGACAACCUAAGCCUGUCCUUCCCAGCGCCUCCUUUACACUGGGAAGAAACUCCCCUGAAAUUGGAGGUCCCAUGGGUGCUUUUAGGGUUAAAUUAAAAUUUUAAAACUCCAUUCUUGGCCAGAUGUGUUGGCUCACACCUGU
rnacentral:lncRNA from 10 species